rnacentral:rRNA from 1 species
AACGAACGCUGGCGGCGUGCUUAACACAUGCAAGUCGAACGCGAAAGCUUCUUUCGGGAAGCGAGUAGAGUGGCGCACGGGUGAGUAACGCGUGGAUAAUCUACCCAAUGAUCUGGGAUAACAUCUCGAAAGGGGUGCUAAUACCGGAUAAGACCACGGGAUCUCUGGAUUCUGCGGUAAAAGGUGGGGACCUUCGGGCCUACCGUCAUCGGAUGAGUCCGCGUACCAUUAGCUAGUUGGCAGGGUAAUGGCCUACCAAGGCAACGAUGGUUAGCUGGUCUGAGAGGAUGAUCAGCCACACUGGAACUGAGACACGGUCCAGACACCUACGGGAGGCAG